rnacentral:lncRNA from 1 species
GCAUAAUGGAGCAAAAGAACAAGUACAGAUACAUUCUGUAAGGUGUCUUAAAAUCCACGUAUUUCAAUCCCUUAAAAAGUAUGUGGAUAUUACAGUCAUCAAGCAUCAGACCACUAAAUAUUGAAGCAUUUAGCAAAAUAGGUCAGCACAAGAAACAUGAUGUUGCUUACCACAAUUGGACACUCAUUAUCGUGGGUGAUGUCCAUAAACAGGGCAUGCGCGAUAGCUGGCAUAAGAGGCCUCAAACAGGGCUGAACGAAGGAUCCGACGGGCUCCCCUCCGUACCGGUAGACCAAUCUGCCCUCUUCGUGACUGUUAUAUGCGCUCAUUGCCUCUGCAGAGCAGCACAGCAAAGUUUAGCAAUCCUGCUACUCAGAAAUGCCCACGAGAAGGUUACAGUUCUUAUCAUGACUGACAUUCAAGGCCUAUCAACAUUAUGAAAAGUGAGAGUUAAGUAAUUAAGCAGUGUCACCAAGUACAAGUGACCAACACUUAACUACGACUUAGCUGAAGAAACAGCUUGAGUAGAAAAAAGGAUCAA